rnacentral:misc_RNA from 1 species
GCCAGUUCAGCCUGCAGCAAAUUCACAAGAUGAAACACAAGCUACAAGAAUCAAUCUACCAAGACACAAAAUGAAGGAUCCACAUUUUGCCCAUUAAAAUAUAUGGCAGUAAAACUUGGACAAAUAAAUUUCAUGCUGGAUAACAGCAAUGCUAGUUGUGUUAAUGCAUCUAAAUUUUAGUUUCAAAAAAUCUACUGUGUCGCAAAACUUGACCAGAACA